rnacentral:tRNA from 1 species
AGGGCUAUAGCUCAGCGGCAGAGCGCCUCGUUUACACCGAGAAUGUCUACGGUUCAAAUCCGUAUAGCCCUA